rnacentral:rRNA from 1 species
CCUACGGGAGGCAGCAGUGAGGAAUAUUGGUCAAUGGGCGCGAGCCUGAACCAGCCAAGUAGCGUGAAUGAUGACGGCCCUACGGGUUGUAAACUUCUUUUAUAAAGGAAUAAGAUGAGGAGCGUGUGCCUUUUUGUAUGUACUUUAUGAAUACGGAUCGGCUAACUCCGUGCCAGCAGCCGCGGUAAUACGGAGGAGCCGAGCGUUAGCCGGAUUUAUUGGGUUUAAAGGUAGCGUAGAUGGGUUGUUAAGUCAGUUGUGAAAGUUUGAGGCUCAACCGUAAAAUUGCAAUUGAUACUGGCAGUCUUGAGUACAGGUGAGGUAGGCGGAAUUCGUGGUGUAGCGGUGAAAUGCUUAGAUAUCACGAAGAACUCCGAUUGCGAAGGCAGCUUACUAACCUGCCACUGACAUUGAUGCUCGAAAGUGUGGGUAGCAAACAGGAUUAGAUACCCUUGUAGUC